UGACUUAAUUAGUUUCACACGGUUCUUGGAGGCUUAGGACAAUUUGGAGUUAUAACAAGAGCAAGAAUUUCUCUUCACCCAGCACCCACAAAGGGUUCUUGGCCACAUUGCAGGCGAACACUGGAGAAUUCUGUGCCCCAACUCCACUGGAGCUGAAGAACAGAGCCACGAAAGAGAG